AGAGAGAUUGUGUGUGUGUGUGUGUGCUAUAAUAGAGCUUUGUUUUUGUGUGCUUUUGUUUUGAACGCUAUCUCUCUCUCUUUCUCUCUCUCUCUCUCUCUCGCUUUUAUUUGUAACGCUCAGAGAGGUCUCGGCUUUGGCCGGGGCUUUGAUCGCACUGCCGCGGUGCUGUCACUCAAUAUCGGUGCUGUGUGCCUCACAUAAAUUCGCUCGCUUCUCAAGGAAAAACCUUGUGUCACUUCCUCGAUGGAUCAACAGCAGCAGCAGGACCAGAAGAAGAAGGGAUCUUCAAACAAUAACAGCAAUAGCAACACCUCUGGGGGCGGGGGCAGUGGCAGUAACAAUGCGGCGCAGCAAAAAUCUAAAUCGAAUUCCAAGCGCUCCAUCGCGGAGACUGUGAACCUCGCCGCCCAGAAGUUCCUGGCAGACUCCUCAAAGAAGUGAAAAAAAAAAAAACGAGACGAUCCAAUCCAGCAUUGCGAUAUAUGGUUGGGCUUUGCUAUACUUGAACUAUAGAUAUUAUCUCUUCUAAAUAUUACAAUGUGUGUAAAAAUCAUAGAAAUGGUGUUUUGCCAUGUGUACCGCGAAAAGUGCCUCCCCAAGGCUUUUGCUAAGAUCUUAAAGUGGUACUCAUAUACUCAAUGAAAAUAAUGGAAAAAUUCCCUCCAAUAAUUGAUA